rnacentral:rRNA from 1 species
CCUACGGGUGGCAGCAGUGAGGAAUAUUGGUCAAUGGGCGCGAGCCUGAACCAGCCAAGUCGCGUGAGGGAAUACGGCCCUACGGGUCGUAAACCUCUUUUGCCGGGGAGCAACGGCCGCCACGUGUGCCGCCCCUGAGAGUACCCGGAGAAAAAGCAUCGGCUAACUCCGUGCCAGCAGCCGCGGUAAUACGGAGGAUUCAAGCGUUAUCCGGAUUUAUUGGGUUUAAAGGGUGCGUAGGCGGUCGGUUAAGUUAGAGGUGAAAUCCCGAGGCUCAACUUCGGAAUUGCCUCUGAUACUGUUCGGCUAGAGAGUAGUUGCGGUAGGCGGAAUGUAUGGUGUAGCGGUGAAAUGCUUAGAGAUCAUACAGAACACCGAUUGCGAAGGCAGCUUACCGAGCUACUUCUGACGUUGAGGCACGAAAGCGUGGGGAGCAAACAGGAUUAGAUACCCGGGUAGUC